UACGAAGGGGACUAGCGUUGUUCGGAAUCACUGGGCGUAAAGCGCACGUAGGCGGAUUUGUAAGUCAGGGGUGAAAUCCCGGGGCUCAACCUCGGAACUGCCUUUGAUACUGCGAAUCUAGAGUCCGAUAGAGGUGGGUGGAAUUCCUAGUGUAGAGGUGAAAUUCGUAGAUAUUAGGAAGAACACCGGUGGCGAGGGCGGCCCACUGGAUCGGUACUGACGCUGAGGUGCGAAAGCGUGGGGAGCAAACAGG
rnacentral:rRNA from 1 species